UACGUAGGCAGCGAGCGUUGUUCGGAAUUACUGGGCGUAAAGAGUGUGUAGGCGGUGUUCCCAGUCUGUUGUGAAAUCUCCCGGCUUAACUGGGAGGGUGCAGCGGAAACUAGAAUGCUAGAGGGUGGGAGAGGUAAGCGGAAUUCCAGGUGUAGCGGUGAAAUGCGUAGAUAUCUGGAGGAAUACCGGUGGCGAAGGCGGCAUCCUGGACCGAGAUUGACACUGAUGAGCGAAAGCUAGGGGAGCAAACGGG
rnacentral:rRNA from 1 species